GACGAACGCUGGCGGCGUGCCUAAUACAUGCAAGUCGAACGCUGAAGGAGGAGCUUGCUUCUCCGGAUGAGUUGCGAACGGGUGAGUAACGCGUAGGUAACCUGCCUGGUAGCGGGGGAUAACUAUUGGAAACGAUAGCUAAUACCGCAUAACAGUAGAUAUUGCAUGAUAUCUGCUUGAAAGGUGCAAUUGCAUCACUACCAGAUGGACCUGCGUUGUAUUAGCUAGUUGGUGAGGUAACGGCUCACCAAGGCGACGAUACAUAGCCGACCUGAGAGGGUGAUCGGCCACACUGGGACUGAGACACGGCCCAGACUCCUACGGGAGGCAGCAGUAGGGAAUCUUCGGCAAUGGACGGAAGUCUGACCGAGCAACGCCGCGUGAGUGAAGAAGGGUUUCGGAUCGUAAAGCUCUGUUGUAAGAGAAGAACGAGUGUGAGAGUGGAAAGUUCACACUGUGACGGUAUCUUACCAGAAAGAGACGGCUAACUACGUG
rnacentral:rRNA from 1 species